rnacentral:misc_RNA from 1 species
GAUGAAGAACGCAGCAAAAUGCGAUAAGUAAUGUGAAUUGCAGAAUUCAGUGAAUCAUCGAAUCUUUGAACGCACAUUGCGCCCGCUGGUAUUCCGGCGGGCAUGCCUGUUCGAGCGUCAUUUCAACCCUCAAGCCCCCGGGUUUGGUGUUGGGGAUCGGCUCUGCCCUUCUGGGCGGUGCCGCCCCCGAAAUACAUUGGCGGUCUCGCUGCAGCCUCCAUUGCGUAGUAGCUAACACCUCGCAACUGGAACGCGGCGCGGCCAUGCCGUAAAACCCCAACUUCUGAAUGUUGACCUCGGAUCAGGUAGGAAUACCCGCUGAACUUAAGCAUAUCAAUAAGCGGAGGA